UACGGAGGGUGCGAGCGUUGUCCGGAAUCACUGGGCGUAAAGGGCGCGUAGGCGGCUCAUGAAGGCUGUGGUGAAAGUCCGGGGCUCAACCUCGGAUCGGCCGUGGCGACUCGUGGGCUGGAGCACUGUAGAGGCGGGUGGAAUUCCGGGUGUAGCGGUGGAAUGCGUAGAGAUCCGGAAGAACACCGGUGGCGAAGGCGGCCCACUGGAUCGGUACUGACGCUGAGGUGCGAAAGCGUGGGGAGCAAACAGG
rnacentral:rRNA from 1 species